AUCAAAAUGAGGCCCUAGACUGGGGACCCAUGAAAAGGAGCGAGCCCCCAACAGGUUGGCAAGAUGUUAGUAUCGCUCACCUUGGACUUUGUCAACCAUUCCUGUUAACCUCAGAUUUCAUCUGUUUGUUCAGGAAAUCAGAGCCAAAAGAGCUUCACAGAGUCACCCAUUAAGACCUGGGGCCAGCUCCAACAGCUCAGAGAAAGUCAAGAGGCUCAUGAGAUCAGAAUAUUCUUUCAUCGAAGGAGGAGAACCCUAGAUACGUUGAGGCCUGUUGUGUCAGCCAGCCCUGGGGCUAGGUGAGACAAU
rnacentral:lncRNA from 1 species